UACGGAGGGUGCGAGCGUUGUCCGGAAUCACUGGGCGUAAAGGGCGCGUAGGCGGUUUGGCAAGUCUGUGGUGAAAGCUCGUGGCUCAACUGCGAGUCGGCCAUGGAUACUGCUGAACUGGAGCACUGUAGAGGCAGGUGGAAUUCCGGGUGUAGCGGUGGAAUGCGUAGAUAUCAGGAGGAACACCUGUGGUGUAGACAGCUUACUGGACCAUUUCUGACGCUGAGACACGAAAGCGUGGGUAGCAAACAGG
rnacentral:rRNA from 1 species